AAUAGAUACCCUGGUAGUCCACGCCGUAAACGAUGGUCACUAGAUGUGGGGGGUGUCGACUCCCUCCGUGUCGUAGCUAACGCGUUAAGUGACCCGCCUGGGGAGUACGGCCGCAAGGCUAAAACUCAAAGGAAUUGACGGGGACCCGCACAAGCAGCGGAGCAUGUGGAUUAAUUCGACGCAACGCGAAGAACCUUACCUGGGCUUGACAUACUGCUGACCGCCGUGGAAACACGGCUUUCCUUCGGGACAGCAAUACAGGUGGUGCAUGGCUGUCGUCAGCUCGUGUCGUGAGAUGUUGGGUUGAGUCCCGCAACGAGCGCAACCCCCGUCCCAUGUUGCCAGCAUUUAGUUGGGGACUCAUGGGAGACUGCCGGUGACAAACCGGAGGAAGGUGGGGAUGACGUCAAGUCAUCAUGCCCCUUAUGUCCAGGGCUUCACACGUGCUACAUUGGCGCAUACAGAGGGCUGCGAUACCGCAAGGUGGAGCGAAUCCCAAAAAGUGCGUCUCGGUUCGGAUUGGGGGCUGAAAC
rnacentral:rRNA from 1 species